UGGUGUGCUGGGAGUUCGGAUCAUCGGCUGCCUUGU
rnacentral:scRNA from 1 species